rnacentral:rRNA from 1 species
AGUGAACGCUGGCGGUAGGCCUAACACAUGCAAGUCGAACGGCAGCACAGUAAGCGCUUGCUCUUACGGGUGGCGAGUGGCGGACGGGUGAGGCAUACAUCGGCAUCUAAUUUUUCGUGGGUGAUAACGUAGGGCCACUUACGCUAAUACCGCAUAUGACCUACGGCUGAAAGCAGGAGAUCUUCGGACCUUGCGCGAUUGAUUGAGCCGAUGUCGGAUUAGCUAGUUGGCGGGGUAAAGGCCCACCAAGGCGACGAUCCGUAGCUGAUCUGAGAGGAUGAUCGGCCACACUGGAACUGAGACACGGUCCAGACUCCUACGGGAGGCAGCAGUGGGGAAUAUUCGACAAUGGGCGAAAGCUUGAUCCAGCCAUACCGCGUGAGUGAAGAAGGCCUUCGGGUUGUAAAGCCCUGUUAUUGGGAAAGAAAAAAAGCAGAUUAAUACCCCGCUGUUCUGACGGUACCCAAAGAAUAAGCACCGGCUAACUUCGUG